ACCCUGGAGAAAGAAUCUUACAAAGAAUACUAAAGAGCAUCCAAGUGUGAAGAAUGAAACACACAAUGCACAUGAAGUCCAGCCAUGGUGUAGCCAAGGAGACCCACUAAGACCACCAAAAGCUUGGAAAUGAGGAUGCAGGGGCAAAGGACGGCAUUAUAGGCGCACACUUGAUUUCCUAGAAGUCUCGGACAAACUUUGGCAUGCAGACAGCUUUCCACUUCAAGAGUUUGCCCUUCACUUCUGACAUCACUCUCCAGAAUCAUGAGCACAACCCAGAAAUGUGGUUCUUGAGACCACCUUGCAAAUAAAUGACCUAUACCCAAUCUUCAUCUCAGCAUCUGUUUUGAGGGAAUUCAAACUAAGACAGGAGCCCAGAGAAGCUAAAGGAUUUCUGUUCCUUUUCCCUGGGGAGGCUACUCUUCCCACUAAAUGAACUUCUUUUCUGAAGAUCCACUGAACUGGCAGAGUCCAUUCAAUGAGACAUCUUGAGCCUCAGCCCCUGAAGCUCCACGCCAAGGCUCUCAACAUGAUUCUAUUCC
rnacentral:lncRNA from 1 species